AUUCAGGCCUAACACAUGCAAGUCGAGCGCGAAAGCGACUUCGGUCGUUAGUAGAGCGGCGCACGGGUGAGUAACACGUGGAUAAUCUGCCUGGGUGUGGGGAAUAACUUGGGGAAACCUGAGCUAAUACCGCAUACGUUCAUUGGGCUUCGGCCUGAUGAGGAAAGACCGCCUCUUCUUGAAAGCGGUCGCACCUAGAGGAGUCCGCGGCUGAUUAGCUAGUUGGUGAGGUAAUGGCUCACCAAGGCGACGAUCAGUAGCCGGCCUGAGAGGGUGAUCGGCCACACUGGAACUGAGACACGGUCCAGACUCCUACGGGAGGCAGCAGUGGGGAAUAUUGGACAAUGGGCGCAAGCCUGAUCCAGCAACGCCGCGUGGAGGAUGAAGGCCUUCGGGUUGUAAACUCCUGUCAGGUGGAACGAAAAACCUCAGCUAACAACUGAGCAUAUGACGGUACCACCAGAGGAAGCCCCGGCUAACUCUGUGCCAGCAGCCGCGGUAAUACAGAGGGGGCAAGCGUUAUUCGGAAUUAUUGGGCGUAAAGGGCGCGUAGGCGGCCAAGCAAGUCAGGGGUGAAAUCCCUCGGCUCAACCGAGGAAUUGCCUCUGAAACUGCAUGGCUUGAGACCGGGAGAGGGUGGUGGAAUUCCCAGUGUAGCGGUGAAAUGCGUAGAUAUUGGGAGGAACACCGGUGGCGAAGGCGGCCACCUGGACCGGUUCUGACGCUGAGGCGCGAAAGUGUGGGGAGCAAACAG
rnacentral:rRNA from 1 species